rnacentral:rRNA from 1 species
UACGUAGGGAGCAAGCGUUGUCCGGAUUUAUUGGGCGUAAAGAGCUCGUAGGCGGUUCGGUAAGUCGGGUGUGAAAACUCUGGGCUCAACCCGGAGAGGCCACUCGAUACUGCCGUGACUUGAGUCUGGUAGGGGAGCACGGAAUUCCUGGUGUAGCGGUGAAAUGCACAGAUAUCAGGAGGAACACCGGUGGCGAAGGCGGUGCUCUGGGCCAGUACUGACGCUGAGGAGCGAAAGCGUGGGGAGCGAACAGG